ensembl:lncRNA
CUCCCUCCAUCUGGUGGUCCUGGCCCCCUGGGCAAAAUGUCCCCAGCAGAACUAGGAGACUGAGCAGCGUCCUCAGCGGAGCAAGAAAGCAACGCAAUGUCCUCAGUGUAACAGGUAAGCGGAGCGACUUCCUCAGCGGAACAGGUAAGCAGAGCGACUUCCUCAGCGGAACAGGUGAGCAGAGCGACUUCCUCAGCGGAACAGGUGAGCAGAGCGACUUCCUCAGCGGAACAGGUGAGCAGAGCGACUUCCUCAGCGGAACAGGUGAGCAGAGCGACUUCCUCAGUGGGGCUGGAGCUCAGAGCGAUGUCUGCGGGGCAGGACAGCGGGACAAGGGUUGGCAGGACGGGAGAGGGGAGCGAGGUUUUCCGCGAGGCCAGGGAGGGGAGGAGGGGAGCGAGGUUCUCCGCGAGGCCAAAGGGAGGAACGAUGCUCUCCACAGCGCACGAGGGGAAAAUUAUGCCCUCUGUGGAGCAGGAAGGGGGAGUGACAUACGGCGUGCAGCAAAGAAGAGGAAUGGCGUCUUCAGCAGAACAUGGAGGCAGAGCGACGUCCUCGGCCGAGCAGGAAGGCAGAGCGACGUCCUCGGCCGAGCAGGAAGGCAGAGCGACGUCCUCCGCCGGGCAGAAAAGAGGAGUGCCUUCCUCAGCGGAGCGAUAAAGCCGAGCGACGCCCUCAGCAGUGCAGAAAAGCAGGGCGAGUUCCUCAGCUGAGCAGGCAAGCACAGCGGCGUUGUGCGCGGGGUUGGCGGACAGAGGGGAGCACUUAUGUAUGUCGGAGCAACGUCUUCAGCCAACCCGGGUGACUGAGCGGCAUCCUCAGUUGAACCGAAAAGCGGAGUGGCGUUGAGCAGGGAAGCUGACUUACGUUUGCUAACUCCGUUUGCCAAACUAGAUCCAUAAUAGAGGAGGGAGGGUGGGAGAUGGUACUAGUCCAGACAACAGACUCCCACUUGUACCCGGACUCCUCCUCCUGUUGGCGUGGCGUGGUCCUCCGUGAACAUAGGUGGUAGAUUGAAGCCCAGGUAUUUCAUGGUGAUCUGCUGCUUCCGUUGUAGGUCUCAUGUUCUAUCACGGUUCAAAGAUGGAUGCGAAAGCAAUCGCAGAUUUCAAACAUUUAAUAAAAAAAAAAACAAAUACACAAUAACACGAGGCUAAA